AUUGAACGCUGGCGGCAUGCCUUACACAUGCAAGUCGAACGGUAACGGGCCUUCGGGUGCCGACGAGUGGCGAACGGGUGAGUAAUACAUCGGAACGUGCCCGAUCGUGGGGGAUAAUGAGGCGAAAGCUUUGCUAAUACCGCCUACGAACUACGGAGGAAAGCAGGGGACCGCAAGGCCUUGCGCGGACGGAGCGGCCGGUGGCAGAUUAGGUAGUAGGUGGUAUAAAAGUUUACCAAGCCGACGAUCUGUGGCUGGCCGGAGAGGAUGAUCAGCCACACUGGAACUGAGACACGGCCACGACUCCUACGGGAGGCAGCAGUGGGGAAUUUUGGACAAUGGGGGCAAGCCUGAUCCAGCCAUGCCGCGUGCAGGAUGAAGGCAUUCGGGUUGUAAAAUGCUUUUGUACGGAACGAAAAGCCUUCUUUUAAUACAGGAGGGUCAUGACGGUACCGUAAGAAUAAGCACCGGCUAACUACGUG
rnacentral:rRNA from 1 species